rfam:Medicago truncatula strain A17 chromosome 4, whole genome shotgun sequence.
AAACCGCCCCCUAAGUUUUACAAUUGUAGCAGUUUUGGCCCUCCAAGGCCAAUUUUUGGUAAAAAAAAAUAACACGUGGCACCUCACUUAGGGUGCCACGUCAGUGUAGACUGAGUCAAAAUUGGCCUUGGGGGCCAAAACUCUCACACAUGCAAAACUUAGGGGGCGGUUU